rnacentral:pre_miRNA from 1 species
UGGCUAUAAAAUAAUUUAUUUUGUAGCCACUUUAAAUUACGAUAAUUACUAUAUUAAUUUACGAGAUUAUAGUAACUCAAUACUAAGUGGUUUACUAUAACGUUAUGGUAAAUAUCUCCAACUAUCGUAAAUAUGUAUUGAUAUUAUCGUAAAUUAGUAUAUAAAAUUAUCGUAAAUGUAGGCGGCUACAGAAUAACUUAUUUUAUAGCUC